AUUGAACGCUGGCGGCAUGCCUUACACAUGCAAGUCGAACGGUAACAGGUUAAGCUGACGAGUGGCGAACGGGUGAGUAAUGUAUCGGAACGUGCCCAGUCGUGGGGGAUAACUGCUCGAAAGAGCAGCUAAUACCGCAUGCGACCUGAGGGGGAAAGCGGGGGAUCGCAAGACAUCGCGCGAUUGGAGCGGCCGAUAUCAGAUUAGGUGGUUGGUGAGGUAAAGGCUCACCAAGCCGACGAUCUGUAGCUGGUCUGAGAGGACGACCAGCCACACUGGGACUGAGACACGGCCCAGACUCCUACGGGAGGCAGCAGUGGGGAAUUUUGGACAAUGGGCGCAAGCCUGAUCCAGCCAUGCCGCGUGCGGGAAGAAGGCCUUCGGGUUGUAAACCGCUUUUGUCAGGGAAGAAAAGGUUCUGGCUAAUACCUGGGACUCAUGACGGUACCUGAAGAAUAAGCACCGGCUAACUACGUGCCAGCAGCCGCCGUAACAC
rnacentral:rRNA from 1 species